rnacentral:rRNA from 1 species
GUCCACGCCGUAAACGAUUGAUACUAGCUGUGUCUCGAUUCGACCCGAGGCGUAGCAAAGCUAACGCAUUAAGUAUCCCGCCUGUGGAGUACGGCCGCAAGGCUAAAACAUAAAGGAAUUGACGGGGACCCGCACAAGCGGUGGAGCGUGUUGUUUAAUUCGAUGGUAAGCGAAGAACCUUACCUAGGUUUGACAUCCCGUGAAUAACUGCGAAAGCAGAUAGUGCCUUUUAGGAACACGGUGACAGGUGUUGCAUGGCCGUCGU